GUAGGUGAACCUGCGGAAGGAUCAUUCAUAAUAUGUUUGUUCUUCUACAACAAAAGUUCAUUUUGCUGGAUUUCGGUCUGGCAAAGUAUACCUUUUUAAGGUUUUUAGAGUUAGUAAAUACCUCUAAAUAUUUUAAAUUUUCAACGAUGGAUAUCUAGGCUCCUAUACCGAUGAAGAACGCAGCGAAAUGCGAUACGCAAUGCGAAUUGCAGAACCGCGAGUCAUCAGAUCUUUGAACGCAAGUGGCGAUAGCUUCGGCUAUCAUGUUUGUUUCAGUGUAUCCGGUUAAUUACAUCAAAGAACUUAAUGUGAUUGAGGAAGCUCUCUCACCAAGUAUGAAGUUACUUCAGUGUAACACCUAACCGAAGCAGUCACUAACUGGUGAUCAUCGUUUAGAGUAGUACAUUGUCAAACAGUAACUUGAUAAGUAUUUAUCCACUAAUGGUACCUGAAAUAAGCAAGGCUACCCGCUGAACUUAAGCAUAUCAGUA
rnacentral:rRNA from 1 species